rnacentral:RNase_P_RNA from 1 species
UCACACUGAUGUCGCGUCGCCUGCCGACCUAUGAGCGGCGGGAGGAAAGUCCGGGCAACAUAGAGCGCCAUAUUUUCUAACGGGAAGCUACCGGUGACGGUAGGGCUAUCGUGACAGAAAACAACCGCCUCCGCUUUGCGGGGGUAAGGGUGAAAAGGUGGGGUAAGAGCCCACCGGACAGCAUGGUGACAUGAUGUGCCGCACGACCUAUGGGUUGCAAUGCCAAGUAUACCGGCAGCAUGUAGGGUUGCUCGCCCGAUUGCCGGGGGGUAGGCAGCGAAGAUAAAUGACGUGACGUUUCCGCAGGCCCGCUAUAGCGGCAGCGGCGGAACGACAUAACCCGGCUUAUAGUCGGUGUGGCCUC